GGAGGGCGAGAGGAGGCGGGCCGGUGACAAAGGUUGAAUGGAACUUGUGCAGCUGUUUUUUACCCUUGCAGUCUGCUGUGUGCCCGUGCUGCGGGUUGAGCGGUGCCGUUGUGCGGGGCGGACGUUCGGGAGCAUCAGGCUGCUCUGGCACAAGGCUGUGAACUCUUCUGUGACACCAACCUUGUCCAUGCUUCCACAUUCCUGUGGGGAGGAAGAGGACCCAGCUCCAGUCCUGCUCCUGCCCCCAGGCUUUGCAAAUAGAUUGUCUCAAAUGCAAAUACCUUCUGGAGCCCUGUUGAAGAUCUGGUAUCUUCUAUUUGGCUGACUUCAAGAUCUGCUUAUGUGAUACUCCGCUCAUCUAAGAAAUUGUAGAUGUCACAUUAGGGUCACAGGACUACUGUGGAUCUCAGUUGCUGAAUUCAAUCUCCUGCUUCUAGGCAUCACCGUGCAGCAUAAUCUUCUUCACCAAUUUCUC
ensembl:lncRNA